rnacentral:rRNA from 1 species
UACGUAGGGUGCAAGCGUUGUCCGGAAUUAUUGGGCGUAAAGAGCUCGUAGGCGGUUUGUCGCGUCUGCUGUGAAAAACUGGAGGCUCAACCUCCAGCCUGCAGUGGGUACGGGCAGACUAGAGUGCGGUAGGGGGGGAUUGGAAUUCCUGGUGUAGCGGUGGAAUGCGCAGAUAUCAGGAGGAACACCGAUGGCGAAGGCAGAUCUCUGGGCCGUAACUGACGCUGAGGAGCGAAAGCAUGGGGAGCGAACAGG